rnacentral:rRNA from 1 species
AUGAACGCUGGCGGCGUGCCUCAUCCAUGCCAGUCGAGCGAACAGACGAGAGUGCUUGCACUCUCUGACGUUAGCGGCGGACGGGUGAGUAACACGUGGGUAACCUACCUAUAAGACUGGGAUAACUUCGGGAAACCGGAGCUAAUACCGGAUAAUAUUUAGCUUCGCAUGAAGCAAUAGUGAAAGACGGUUCUGCUGUCACUUAUAGAUGGACCCGCGGUGUAUUAGCUAGUUGGUGAGGUAACGGCUCACCAAGGCAACGAUACAUAGCCGACCUGAGAGGGUGAUCGGCCACACUGGGACUGAGACACGGACCAGACUCCUACGGGAGGCAGCAGUAGGGAAUCUUCCGCAAUGGACGAAAGUCUGACGGAGCAAUGCCGCGUGAGUGAAGAAGGUGUUCGGAUCGUAAAACUCUGUUGUAAGGGAAGAACAAGUACGUUAGUAACUGAACGUACCUUGACGGUACCUUACCAGAAAGCCACGGCUAACUACGUG